rnacentral:rRNA from 1 species
GUGAACGCUGGCGGUAGGCCUAACCCAUGCAAGUCGAACGGCAGCACAGUAAGAGCCUGCUCUUGCGGGUGGCGAGUGGCGGACGGGUGAGGAAUACAUCGGAAUCUACUUUUUCGUGGGGGAUAACGUAGGGAAACUUACGCUAAUACCGCAUACGACCUACGGGUGAAAGCAGGGGAUCUUCGGACCUUGCGCGAUUGAAUGAGCCGAUGUCGGAUUAGCUAGUUGGCGGGGUAAAGGCCCACCAAGGCGACGAUCCGUAGCUGGUCUGAGAGGAUGAUCAGCCACACUGGAACUGAGACACGGUCCAGACUCCUACGGGAGGCAGCAGUGGGGAAUAUUGGACAAUGGGCGCAAGCCUGAUCCAGCCAUACCGCGUGGGUGAAGAAGGCCUUCGGGUUGUAAAGCCCUUUUGUUGGGAAAGAAAAGCAGCAGGUUAAUACCCCGCUGUUCUGACGGUACCCAAAGAAUAAGCACCGGCUAACUUCGUG